GAUGAAGAACGUAGCGAAAUGCGAUAAGUAAUGUGAAUUGCAGAAUUCAGUGAAUCAUCGAAUCUUUGAACGCACAUUGCGCCCGCCAGUAUUCUGGCGGGCAUGCCUGUUCGAGCGUCAUUUCAACCAUCAAGCCCCCGGCUUGUGUUGGGGACCUGCGGCUGCCGCAGGCCCUGAAAAGCAGUGGCGGGCUCGCUGUCACACCGAGCGUAGUAGCAUACAUCUCGCUCUGGGCGUGCUGCGGGUUACGGCCGUUAAACCACCUUCAUAACCCAAGGUUGACCUCGGAUCAGGUAGGAAGACCCGCUGAACUUAAGCAUAUCAAUAAGCGGAGGA
rnacentral:misc_RNA from 1 species